rnacentral:lncRNA from 1 species
UUAAUGCAGUCCAGUGGCAAGAACAACCAAAACUAGGAGGAGGGGGGAGAGCAAUACCGUUUGAAAUACUUGAAAUAUUGGCUCUUAAGAGCCAAUCCCUGUGAACCCAAGAGUGCCAGAUUCUACAGUCCUAAGAGAUACUCCCACACCUGCAAAGUCAGGACAAGAGUUUUUGGUUCAUCUUCUUGGCUCUCCUCCAGAGAUCUGUGGCAGCAGGCACAAGUCUGGCAGUGUGGGAGGAGACACACAGAAGCCCAGAAGCUACGCUGGAAGAUGAACAGCUAUCUAGCUCCAGAGCAAUGCCGAAACUGCUGGGCAUUUAUAGAGUGCCUGGUGAUGACUCAACAAACCUACCAUUACAGGGAGCUUCAAAGUCCAGCCUGCCCAGAGGCUUGUCCAGAAUCCCUGACUGUAGGAAAUGUCCUGUAUGGGCCUCUUUGUAACUCCUAUCCGCUAGAGCAGCCAAAUUCUGGAGUCUGCAUUUUUAAGCUUAGAUGGAAUCUAGAGAUCAAGCGUCUGCAGUCCUGUGACCAGCUUGGACCAGCAGUUUCCUCAGCCCUGCUACGAAGCAGAAAAAAAAAAAAAAGAGAUAACCACAACCUCUACCUGAAACCUGUUCCACUGAGGGAAGGUUUAAAGGAGACCUUGUAG